rnacentral:ribozyme from 1 species
GUUUCCCUUUUUUCCCUCUCUCUCUCGCUUUCUUUCUCUCUUUUUCUCUCUCUCUCUCUCUUCCUUAAAACGGCAGGAAGGAGACUCAA